rnacentral:ncRNA from 1 species
ACAUCUGGCGCAGAAUCACUCCACCAACAUGAUCUGCGUACAAUGAAAAAGGAGGUAUGUCCCUUGCCGCGUGGCUCGCGGUGCGGCAGUGUGGAGACCUGUCGUAAUGCGUCACGUCCCUCCGCGGACGGACGCGAGGCGGAUACGGGUGGGCCGUUCCGCCAGAGCUGAGAGUAUGUCC